AUGACCUAACUUGAACAGGGUCUGUUCUAUUGGCUCGUACCUCAGUAUCCUUGAUUCCUAUCAAGACAACCCAUGUCAACCACGACCAUGUUGCUCGAGUGUGAUUAACAGAGCUUAUAUAGUCUUGUAUCGUGGCUCUGCAGAGGAUUGUUGCCAGCCCCACCUAAUGGGUCUUGGCAUGGCUUCAUGGUUGUCUGACAGACA